AAGUAAAAGUCGUAACAAGGUUUCCGUAGGUGAACCUGCGGAAGGAUCAUUAUUGAAAUAAAUCUGAUGAGUUGCUGCUGGCUCUCUCUAAGGGAGCAUGUGCACACUUGUCAUCUUUAUAUCUCCACUUGUGCACCUUUUGUAGACCUGGAUCUCCCUCCGAAUGCUAGCCAUUCAGGAUUGAGGAUUUGAAUUCAUGUUCUCUUCUUCCAUUUCCAGGCCUAUGUUUCUUCAUAUACCCCAAUGUAUGUCGUAGAAUGUAAUCAAAUGGCCUUUGUGCCUAUAAACCUAUACAACUUUCAGCAACGGAUCUCUUGGCUCUCGCAUCGAUGAAGAACGCAGCGAAAUGCGAUAAGUAAUGUGAAUUGCAGAAUUCAGUGAAUCAUCGAAUCUUUGAACGCACCUUGCGCUCCUUGGUAUUCCGAGGAGCAUGCCUGUUUGAGUGUCAUUAAUAUAUCAACCUCUUCAGCUUUUGCUCGUUGAGUGUUGGAUGUGGGGGUUCAUUUUUUGCUGGUCUUCUCAGGUCAGCUCCCCUGAAAUACAUUAGCGGAACAAUUUGUGGACCGUUCAUUGGUGUGAUAACUAUCUACGCUAUUGACGUGAAGCAGUUCAGCUUCUAACAGUCCAUUGACUUGGACAAAAUUUUAUUAAUGUGACCUCAAAUCAGGUAGGACUACCCGCUGAACUUAAGCAUAUCAAUAA
rnacentral:rRNA from 1 species